CAACGGCUUAGCAGGGAUAUGGCGAAUAUUUUGUUGCCCUGAACUUGUCACUUACAAAAUAAAAAGCACAGCAUGGAGCUUUCCUUCCACAGAUGUGAACAGCCCCACCUCAUGCUUCCAUUGCCUCAGAUGGAGUCUGUCUGCCAUGCUUUCCCCACUAUGAAGGACUGAAAUGGUCUGAAAUCACUGGUACCACUACACUGAAGGCUGGGUUUCUGGCCCAGGCCUCACUUUAUCUGACAGCCUCAAUUAGACCAAGAGAUCAGAAACCAGCCAAGCAUACUUCAUGUGAGUGUUCACGUGUUGCCAGUGACACCUGACAUGUAAACUAAUCGAGAGGGAGAGAGACACCUCUGAAUAUUGGCCUCACCGUCCACCAGGCUAGAGGCCUGACAGGAGAAGGGAAAGCCACCUUUGCCUAUGGACACCAGACUCUCCCUCAGCCUGUUCAGUCAGAGUCGGAGCCACUCAGAACUCUGGGUGAUCAGUGCUGCAUGGGGGCCUCAUCACUAGUUCUGAGGCUCCCAGCAUUUCAGAAGGAGGAGUUAGGUGCUGUUCUGUGCAGGCUGGAAACAGCCAUUCCUGGACUAUCCAAUAAUGAAUUAUAUAAGACAAUUCAAUAAAUCUUCA